CUAGAGUGUAGUGUUAGUUUUCAUUCUCAGGCCUAGCAUGAAAACUAUUAUUCAUGCAAUGCUAUAUUAUCAUUGAGAAGCUUAGGUAAUGCAAUAGUAAGAACCUAAUGCGAUAGUAUUUUUUUCUUACGAGAAAUGUAAUCACUAUAAUCUUGUGUGCCAUUUGCUUGUAUGUCAUUACUGUGAUCAUUGAAGAUGGAAUAGUGGCCGUCGUCAUUGUGGCUUUCACAUUGGCUAAUUGGGACAUCUCCUCCCUUUCGUAUCCUAUGGGAUUUGAAGUUGGUGCGUGCAGCGUUGGCUCGUCUGGUGUGUAAAAGAGGAAACAAUUAGGCAAGGAUAGUUUUUUAAUUUUAGAGCAUGUGGGAUUUGUUUGCGUUUCUGUGAGGACUAUAAUCACUUGCUGUCAAGUGUAUAUAACGUGAGAAGUUAAUAUAAUUAGUAUGGUGC
rnacentral:misc_RNA from 1 species